rnacentral:rRNA from 1 species
AUCAACUUUCGAUGGUAGGAUAGAGGCCUACCAUGGUGGUAACGGGUAACGGGGUGUUAGGGCACGACACCGGAGAGGGAGCCUGAGAAACGGCUACCACAUCCAAGGAUGGCAGCAGGCGCGCAAAUUACCCAAUCCCGACACGGGGAGGUAGUGACAAUAAAUAACAAUACGGGGUCCUUUGGGUCUCGUAAUUGGAAUGAGUACAAUUUAAAUCUCUUAACGAGGAACAAUUGGAGGGCAAGUCUGGUGCCAGCAGCCGCGGUAAUUCCAGCUCCAAUAGCGUAUAUUAAAGUUGUUGCAGUUAAAAAGCUCGUAGUUGAAUUUCGGGGUCGGUAGGUUGGUCAUGCCAUCGGUAUGCACUGGUCUCACCGAUUCCUCCCUCUUGUAGAAGCGUAAUGCCAUUAAGUUGGUGUUGCGGGGAAACAGGACUGUUACUUUGAAAAAAUUAGAGUGUUUAAAGCAGGCUAACGCUUGAAUACAUUAGCAUGGAAUAAUGAAAUAGGACGUCGAUCCUAUUUUGUUGGUUUCUAGGAUUGACGUAAUGAUUAAUGGGGAUAGUUGGGGGCAUUAGUAUUCAAUUGUCAGAGGUGAAAUUCUUGGAUUUAUUGAAGACUAACUACUGCGAAAGCAUUUGCCAAGGAUGUUUUCAUUAAUCAAGAACGAAAGUUAGGGGAUCGAAGACGAUCAGAUACCGUCGUAGUCUUAACCAUAAACUAUGCCGACUAGGGAUCGGAUGAUGUUAAUUUUUUAAUGACUCAUUCGGCGCCUUACGGGAAACCAAAGUGUUUGGGUUC